UACAGAGGGGGCAAGCGUUAUUCGGAAUUAUUGGGCGUAAAGGGCGCGUAGGCGGCCUGGCAAGUGGAAGGUGAAAUCCCUCGGCUUAACCGAGGAACUGCCUCCCAAACUGCUUGGCUUGAGACCGGGAGAGGUGAGUGGAAUUCCCAGUGUAGGCGGUGAAAUGCGUAGAUAUUGGGAGGAACACCAGUGGCGAAGGCGGCUCACUGGACCGGUACUGACGCUGAUGCGGCGAAAAGCCCAGGGGGA
rnacentral:rRNA from 1 species